AAAAAUUACCCCCGUAACUUCGGGAGAAGGGGGGCCACAGACUGUCAUACCCCACGCGGGUGGCAGCAGUAGGUGGCCGCAGAGACCAGGGGGAAGCGACUGUUUACUAAAAACACAGGUCCGUGCGAAGUCGUAAGACGAUGUAUACGGACUGACGCCUGCCCGGUGCUGGAACGUUAAGGGGACCGGUUAGUCCGCAAGGGCGAAGCUGAGAACUUAAGCGCCAGUAAACGGCGGUGGUAACUAUAACCAUCCUAAGGUAGCGAAAUUCCUUGUCGGGUAAGUUCCGACCUGCACGAAUGGCGUAACGACUUCCCUACUGUCUCAACCACAGGCCCGGCGAAAUUGCACUACGAGUAAAGAUGCUCGUUACGCGCGGAAGGACGGAAAGACCCCGGGACCUUCACUAUAGCUUGACAUUGGUAUCCGAAUUUAAUUGUGUAGGAUAGGUGGGAGGCUUUGAUCCGCGGACGCCAGUCCGUCGGGGAGCCAACGUUGAAAUACCACUCUGUUGACUUUGGGUAUCUAACUUCGGACCGUGAUCCGGUUCAGGGACAGUGUCUGGUGGGUAGUUUAACUGGGGCGGUUGCCUCCUAAAAUGUAACGGAGGCGCCCAAAGGUUCCCUCAGCCUGGUUGGCAAUCAGGUGUUGAGUGCAAGUGCACAAGGGAGCUUGACUGUGAGACUGACAGGUCGAGCAGGGACGAAAGUCGGGACUAGUGAUCCGGCACCUGCGAGUGGAAGCGGUGUCGCUCAACGGAUAAAAGGUACCCCGGGGAUAACAGGCUGAUCUUCCCCAAGAGUCCAUAUCGACGGGAUGGUUUGGCACCUCGAUGUCGGCUCGUCGCAUCCUGGGGCUGGAGUAGGUCCCAAGGGUUGGGCUGUUCGCCCAUUGAAGCGGCACGCGAGCUGGGUUUAGAACGUCGUGAGGCAGUUCGGUCCCUAUCCUCCGCGCGCGUAGGAGACUUGAGAAGAGCUGUCCCUAGUACGAGAGGACCGGAACGGACGAACCUCUGGUGUGCCAGUUGUCAUGCCAAUGGCACGGCUGGUUAGCUACGUUCGGAAGGGAUAACCGCUGAAAGCAUCUAAGCGGGAAGCUCGCUUCAAGAUGAGGUCUCCCACCCCUUAGAGGGUUAAGGCCCCCAGCUAGACCACUGGGUUGAUAGGCCAGAAGUGUAAGCCUGGUAACAGGUUCAGCCGACUGGUACUAAUAGGCCGAGGACUUCACCG
rnacentral:rRNA from 1 species